rnacentral:rRNA from 1 species
CUGCCCCUGACUCUGGGAUAAGCGCUGGAAACGGCGUCUAAUACUGGAUAUGUCCCAUCACCGCAUGGUGUGUGGGUGGAAAGAUUUUUCGGUUGGGGAUGGGCUCGCGGCCUAUCAGCUUGUUGGUGAGGUAAUGGCUCACCAAGGCGUCGACGGGUAGCCGGCCUGAGAGGGUGACCGGCCACACUGGGACUGAGACACGGCCCAGACUCCUACGGGAGGCAGCAGUGGGGAAUAUUGCACAAUGGGCGCAAGCCUGAUGCAGCAACGCCGCGUGAGGGAUGACGGCCUUCGGGUUGUAAACCUCUUUUAGCAGGGAAGAAGCGAGAGUGACGGUACCUGCAGAAAAAGCACCGGCUAACUACGUGCCAGCAGCCGCGGUAAUACGUAGGGUGCAAGCGUUAUCCGGAAUUAUUGGGCGUAAAGAGCUCGUAGGCGGUUUGUCGCGUCUGCUGUGAAAUUCCGAGGCUCAACCUCGGGCUUGCAGUGGGUACGGGCAGACUAGAGUGCGGUAGGGGAGAUUGGAAUUCCUGGUGUAGCGGUGGAAUGCGCAGAUAUCAGGAGGAACACCGAUGGCGAAGGCAGAUCUCUGGGCCGUAACUGACGCU